rnacentral:rRNA from 1 species
UACGUAGGUGACAAGCGUUGUCCGGAUUUACUGGGCGUAAAGAGCGCGCAGGCGGUCGUUCAAGUCGAGUGUGAAAGCCCCGGCUCAACUGGGGAGGGUCACUCGAUACUGAUCGACUCGAAGGCAGGAGAGGGUAGUGGAAUUCCCGGUGGUAGUGGUGAAAUGCGUAGAGUAUCGGGAGGAACACCGAAGGCGAAGGCGAGUGUCCUGGGGAGUACCUGACGCUCAGGUGCGAAGCCAGGGGAGCGAACGGG